rnacentral:rRNA from 1 species
UACGUAGGGUGCAAGCGUUAUCCGGAAUUAUUGGGCGUAAAGAGCCUCGUAGGCGGUUUGUCGCGUCUGCUGUGAAAACUGGAGGCUCAACCUCCAGCCUGCAGUGGGUACGGGCAGACUAGAGUGCGGUAGGGGAGACUGGAAUUCCUGGUGUAGCGGUGAAAUGCGCAGAUAUCAGGAGGAACACCGGUGGCGAAGGCGGGUCUCUGGGCCGAUACUGACGCUGGAGGAGCGGAAAGCCGUGGGGAGCAAACGGG